UCGAUGCAGCCGCACGUAUGCAAAAGUGCGCCGUCAAUUUCACGUAGCGCCUUUUUUGGAGGGUGUUCGCACAUGCGCUACGGGAUGGUGCUGAAUUGCGUUUUUUCCCGCAACCGUCAGUUUCAUUCGGGACUCCGCUUCUGGCCGCUAAGUAUAAAUCCCAGGACAGUCUGGGCAUAACCGAUUUUCAACGCAUGCCUUUUCCGAGGUAAAGCGGCCUAUCUCCGAGGCACGUAAAAGUGGACGACGACAAGGUGUUGUGCCAACAACUCGAAGCACUACCUUGAGAGAGGAUUCCCGACAAGAUGCAACCGGCCCUAUACGUAUCGCAAGCAAGAAACCGGCCAGGUGUCGGCUGCUAAUAUCGCGGCAACUACGGACGAACACCCUCACAUAGGACAGCUCUCGAAGCAUUUCCUAACUUCUGCGAUGACACAUAAAGAUAUAGAAACGCUAUCCUGCUUCUUGCGCAAGGUUCGAAGGGAGUCACUUGUGUGUCUUGACGACGUGGCGCAGUCCUGGCUUCCGCCAGUGAAGAACCUGAGCAACGCCUACGCCGUCAGCACCAUCGGAAGUACCCUUAGAGCCGUCUCCUGCCCACGGGAACGUCUGAAGUGCGUGGCCAUGAUGUACUCUUGGCUUGCACCUUUGGGCGUUUUGCACGCUUGGAUACUCUAUCGUGUGAACGACCCCGUGCAAGUGACCAAUCCUUUGACUGUUUUCGCGGAACUGUCGAGCAACUUGCUGCCUGAUCACAUCGCGGAUACGUGCGGGUGUGCCGACAACGGUAGUUCUGUCUGUUUGAGCGUUCUCACGACCGAAGAUGGGUUCUGGACGCUCGAGCACAGGCUAGUGUGCUUUUGCAUGUGGCAUGGGCGCCCAUUUUUGGCCGUGCAUGCUCCUGGCGCGAUGAUCCAUAAAGGGUUCUUCAGGGCCGCCCUCGCGGCGGUUCUCGUGGAUCCCGAAAAGUGCGUGCAUGGCUUUUACGUGGAGUUGGAGUCAGCGCAUGCAGCAGCUUUGAAAACUUUAUCAACCUAAGGACGAGUUCUUUUAUAGCAUUUAAUUUACAUGGUUCAGGACAAGCGUGUUAAGUGGCGAGAGGUACGCACUUCAGUACAAGGCACUUACGUAGGCGACGUUCAUUUGCAAGGCAUGUGAUAGCGGGUUUUGUGGUAGUUCGUUUUGCUAGAGGCAGAACGAACAUUGAUAAAAUAUUGGGCGGGUUCAGACGUACAUGUAUUAUUGGUGUGUACUAGUGAUUUCAUUGUGCAGUACAAAUUUCAUUAGUGGAUACACUUUUCAUAGGUGGUGAGAGGAAUGCGCUGUGUAUCAGAUUAGUUGGCUGUGCGCAUGACAAAUGCCUGAUACGGCUGUCUGUAUAUUUGACGAGGAGAUCGUUUGAUGGAGAUUUUUAUCCAUGUUAUUUUGCAAAUAAACAUUCCGUAUGUAAA